rnacentral:rRNA from 1 species
AGAGUUUGAUCCUGGCUCAGAUUGAACGCUGGCGGCAUGCCUUACACAUGCAAGUCGAACGGCAGCGCGGGAGCAAUCCUGGCGGCGAGUGGCGAACGGGUGAGUAAUAUAUCGGAACGUGCCUUAGAGUGGGGGAUAACUAGUCGAAAGACUAGCUAAUACCGCAUACGACCUACGGGUGAAAGUGGGGGAUCGCAAGACCUCAUGCUCUUAGAGCGGCCGAUAUCUGAUUAGCUAGUUGGUGGGGUAAAAGCCUACCAAGGCGACGAUCAGUAGCUGGUCUGAGAGGACGACCAGCCACACUGGGACUGAGACACGGCCCAGACUCCUACGGGAGGCAGCAGUGGGGAAUUUUGGACAAUGGGGGCAACCCUGAUCCAGCAAUGCCGCGUGUGUGAAGAGGGCCUUCGGGUUGUAAAGCACUUUUGUUCGGAAAGAAAUCGCUCUGGCUAAUAACCGGAGUGGAUGACGGUACCGAAGA